UCUAAGUAUAAGCGCUUUAUCUGUGAAACUGCGAAUGGCUCAUUAUAUCAGUCAUAGUUUAUUUGAAAGUCCCUUACUACAUGGAUAACCGUAGAAAUUCUAGAGCUAAUACAUGCAUAAAAGCCCAACUGCCUUUGGCGGACGGGUUGCAUUGAUUAAACCGAAACCUAUGCGUCUCCGGACGGUUUUGUGGUGAAUCAUAAUCACUUGCGGAUCGCACGCUCCGGCGGCGACGUUCCAUUCAAGUUUCUGCCCUAUCAGCUUUGGAUGGUAGGGUAUUGGCCUACCAUGGCUUUAACGGGUAACGGGGAAUUGGGGUUCGAUUCCGGAGAGGGAGCCUGACAGACGGCUACCACAUCCAAGGAAGGCACCUGGCGCGUAAAUUACCCCAUCCUGACUCAGGGGGGUAGUGACAAUAAAUAACAAUGCCGGGCUUUUACAAGUCUGGCAAUUGGAAUGAGAGCAAUCUCAAUCCCUCCUCGAGGAUCAAUUGGAAGGCCAGACUGGUGCCAUCCUCCGCGGUAAUUCCCCCUCCAAUAGUCCAUAUUAAAAGUGCUGCAAAUCCAAAGGUCCCACUUCGAUUUGUGGCCCGCCCUUCCGGCUCGGAUCCUUCAUUGGUGCCCACAUGACUGGCUUUUCAACCGACGAUUCUCGGGUAUCGGAGUCGCUGGACUGAGGUUGUCAUGUUUCUUCACCGCCCAUCGUCUACUGUGAAAAAAUUAUGAGUGAUCACAAGCAGGCUUACGCCGUAGGAUACAUUCCCCUGGCAAUUCUUGAGAUAAUGGCCGCAACGGUCUAUGUUGAUGGGUUUGCACAUUGUGUUAAUGAUUAAUAAGUACAGUAGGGGUCAUUCGACUAUCAAUUGACAAAGCGAACAUCUUGGAUUUAUGAUAAGACACACUACUGCGCAAAGCAUUACCUAGGACUGUUUCGUCAAUUCAAUCACUGAUACGUUAGUGGGAUCGUAGCAUCGAUCAGUAUACCAUGCGUAGUACCACAACCCAAUAUACCUUAUCGCCCGGACUUACGGGAGAUGUGGCGUGGGAACGAUAUCACGA
rnacentral:rRNA from 1 species